rnacentral:misc_RNA from 1 species
GUAUGAUCAUUGCUACCACUGCACAAGAUAUUAAGAAAGUUAACAAUGUGAAGGGGUGGCAGAAGCUCAAUGAGAAAUUCAGGCAAAAUAAAACAGCAAGUGGUCCAAGAAAUACCGGUUCAAUUCAUUUACUAGCAGUGCUACAUAGGAAAUUCACAAUAUCUAGACCUUGUUGUUUCUGAACUGAUAUAAAUAAAUGCUUGAAAAAUAUAGAUUAUCUCUCUGAACUAUUAUAGAACAUGGCAAGAAAAUUAGUUUAACAAGAACUAACCAACUAUGGUCAUGCAGUAAUUGAAAAUUUCCAGUCCAAUGAUCACUUUUGGUAACUCUUCAUCUUUAAAUUUAUAAGCAGAGAGAGGGGUGAAGGGAAAAUGAAAUCUAAAUUACCAAAAGAAUGAACUGUGCAAUUUAAAUUACCAAGGAAAGCAUAUUGUUGAAGAUUGGUUCCAUCAACUAGGGUUUUUCUCCCUUAUUUUGGCACUAUACAUAUACAGUGCCUUUUUCUUUUGUGUGUGCAUGUUUCAGUUUAGACACACUAAGCACUAAAUGAGCCGUCAUAAACUACAAAAGAUAAUCAUAAACAAAAAAAAAAA